GCCAGCGUAGCCUGUCCAGCCUGGAGCUGUUCCUCUCCUGCGCCCAGAAGCAGCUGAGUGCUCUAAUAGCUACAGAGCCUGUUGACAUUGAGUAGAGACACAGCAGAUCCAUCGGUCGUCAAGCCUGCCCACUCUGAAGCUGUUUUUCUCCUGCGCCCAGAAGCAGCGAGUGCUCUAAUGGCCGUAGAGCCUGGUGGCAUUGAAUAAAGGGAACGUGAUGGGCUGCCUUGCCCUGGC
rnacentral:lncRNA from 1 species